UGCAAGUCGAACGGGAAAGUGGAGCAAUCCAUGAGUACAGUGGCGUACGGGUGAGUAACACGUGGGUAUCUAACUCUUAGUGGGGAAUAACGCUGGGAAACCGGCGCUAAUACCGCAUAAGCUCGAGAGAGGAAAGCAGCAAUGCGCUGAGAGAGGAGCCCGCGGCCGAUUAGCUAGUUGGCAGGGUAAAGCCUACCAAGGCAGAGAUCGGUAGCCGGCCUGAGAGGGCACACGGCCACACUGGCACUGAAACACGGGCCAGACUCCUACGGGAGGCAGCAGUGGGGAAUCUUGCACAAUGGGGGCAACCCUGAUGCAGCGACGCCGCGUGAGCGAUGAAGCCCUUCGGGGUGUAAAGCUCUUUCGUCAGGGAAGAUUAUGACGGUACCUGGAGAAGCAGCUGCGGCUAACUACGUGCCAGCAGCCGCGGUAAUACGUAGGCAGCGAGCGUUGUUCGGAGUUACUGGGCGUAAAGGGUGUGUAGGCGGUUCUUUAAGUUUGGCGUGAAAUCUCCCGGCUCAACCGGGAGGGUGCGUCGAAUACUGAGGGACUAGAGUACGGGAGAGGAAAGUGGAAUUCCUGGUGUAGCGGUGAAAUGCGUAGAUAUCAGGAGGAACACCGGUGGUGUAGACGGCUUUCUGGACCGUAACUGACGCUGAGACACGAAAGCGUGGGUAGCAAACAGGAUUAGAUACCCUGGUAGUCCACGCCCUAAACGAUGCAUAUUUGGUGUGGGUCAUUCAGUUGAUCCGUGCCGGAGCUAACGCGUUAAAUAUGCCGCCUGGGGAGUACAGUCGCAAGGCUGAAACUCAAAGGAAUUGACGGGGGCCCGCACAAGCGGUGGACAUGUGGUUCAAUUCGACGCAACGCGAAAACCUUACCUGGGCUCGAACGGCUUCUC
rnacentral:rRNA from 1 species